GUUGUAACGUUGUAUUGCGGAUUAUAUUGCUGCUUUCCUGUCCAGGAAGUGCAUACUGAAGAACUUGGAACAACUACAAAACACAGGUUCGAUAAGAUGCUAAAACGGAGCCCAGGGUUUGGUACGCAACCCUAUGCCCGUGUACGAAAUGAUGAGCAGCCGGUUUGUCAUAAGGAAGGUGCUCAGACAAGCUCGGCCUCUCCUCCGAAGCAAGCCAUGUCCGCCACCGCUUCUUAUCGCGUUGCCGUUGGGGAGUUGGGCACGCACAGACACGAGCUGGAGGAUGACCCCUGCACGCGCAGCUCAACGGGGGGAAACUGCAGGCACCCGACUGACCAGCAGGGGAAGCGAUGAGACCCUUUCAUCCAGAGUGACUAAACGCAGCAAUGCAGUGGUGGCUAAUCCUGUUCCUUGAAAUCUACCAUCAUGUAGGUUUUCGUUUCAACUCUGAUUUGGCACGCCUGACUCUACUGGCUAGCAGCACUGCGCCUUAAGCUUCUUUGCAAUUUCUCAUGGGUAAUAAACUUGUCACAAUGUAUUUACUUGGCCCCGCACAUCUAACCCGAACGCCUUCUUUGCCAUAUUUCUUGCAGGUUUAGAGUCUAUUUUACUUACACUACAGGCCAAUGGUAUUAGGCUAGCUGUGGUUUUUUAAAAACUUAAGGUAGAUAAUAUGUCAGUCAUAAGAUUUAACUACCCCUCCACCUGAUUGGUUAGACUUCCAAUAAUUUUAAAAAUUGUAAUUAAAGCCAAAGGAGGCUAUUUUUUUGGCUAAGUAAAACUUUCGUCAAAAUAACUAACUUUUUGCGUUGUUGUAGGUAUAAACUGACAAAAAAAAACAAGUUUAUACUUUGGUUUGUCAUUCAAUAAAUGUGGAUAUAUUACCUGAAUUACUGUCUACCUAAGGUUUUUUAACCUCACACACAGGUGGCCAAAUACUUUUGGCCAGUACUGUAGGCCGGGGUACCGAGGCCACCGUCGUUUCACAGAACGAGCCGUCGGGCCGUAACCGAAAAGCCGAAAUCCUGCAUCGGCAGGACGCCCCCCGAAACCAAACGCGCCGCGGAAGCACGUAACGAGAGAAAAGAUCAAAGGGAUUCGGCCCAAAGAGCGCAAUUAAAUCGACUGAAUAUGCAUGCACGUCGUCUGCAUUGUUUUAGCAAAUAAAUAAAUAAGCAAAUGGAUAAAUGAAUAAAAACAGGGCUUUAUUGCAGCCCUGAAUGAGCCCCUCUAUUACAUUACAUUACAGGCAUUUAGCAGAUGCUCUUAUCCAGAGCGACUUACACAACUUUUUUACAUAGCAUCCAUUUAUACAGCUGGAUAUAUACUGAAGCAAUUUCGGUUAAGUACCUUGCUCAAGGGUACAACGACAGUGUCUUACCCGGGAAUCGAACCUGCGACCUUUCGGUUACAAGCCCAGUUCCUUACCCACUGCGCUACACUCCGUUCCUUACCCACUGUGCUACAACUUACCUCAAAUAAGCAACAAUAAGGAUAAUUACUACAAUGCGACCCUUUGGAUUAAGAAGCAGCCAGUGAAUGCCUCCAAAAGGCCGUAGGAUACAUCGACACUUUUAGCGUGGCGUGGCAAUAUUUGUGCCACAUCUCCAUAUCGAGGUUUACAUAAACUGCUUUCCUGAUGGUUCAGAUCGGUUUCACGUGUGGGAUGUUAAUUCUAAAACUACCAUAAGUUUGGUUAAGGUUGCGUGCCUUAAAUUCCAAAGCUUCCAAAGCUGAUUCACAAGGCGGUUUUAAAUAAAGCAUGCUCACAGCACAGUCAAACUGUAUGUACAGCUAAGUAAACAAUUUCUAAAAGGCACCGAUGUAUCUUAUUAUAGCUGUAAAAAAAAGAUGGUGUGCCGUUUCAUCAAGACAUUCUCACUGCAAAUGUCAUUAAAUUCCCUCUGGCUCCUACCAGGUCUUUUGCCUCCCCAGAUUUGUGGCUGUGUUUCAGCAGGAAGUCGCUGGGUAAACAGGAAACGUGUCCCCCCAGGCUGCGGGGCCCGUUAACGAUUUAAAGCCAUCAUAAGCUACCUGCGGUGCAGCCGGUUUUAUGGACGGAUAUUUCAUGUGUAUUAUAUGGAUAUGUGAAAACUUACUUGAAUUUGAAAAGUAAUAAAAAAUUUUUUUUUUUUUUUUACAUUUGCAGCCCAAGCUAGUAAAAAAAAGAAAAAAAGCUGAGGAUGGCAGAAUCUGUGGUUAGCACCAAAGGGCCCAAUAAAACAAACUGCAGUUUACGCUGGUAGGAUGCAAGCCAAUAUCCUACAACAUUGGCCUUAGGCAUGUCAAAUUGUCAGGCUUUCUUGCAAAAAUGUGUUCAAGGUACCGGUUAUAAAAUUUCAUAUGUGAACCGGCCAACUAGAAAUACAGUUUCAAUAAACUUUUUUAAAAAUCA